UACAGAGGUCUCAAGCGUUGUUCGGAUUCAUUGGGCGUAAAGCGUGCGCAGGCGGUCCGCCAAGUCUGAUGUGAAAGCCCCGGGCUCAACCUGGGAACUGCAUUGGAAACUAACGGGCUCGAGUGUGGCAGAGGGGGGUGGAAUUCCACGUGUAGCAGUGAAAUGCGUAGAGAUGUGGAGGAACACCGAUGGCGAAGGCAGCCCCCUGGGCUAACACUGACGCUCAGGCACGAAAGCGUGGGGAGCAAACAGG
rnacentral:rRNA from 1 species